AUUGAACGCUGGCGGAAUGCUUUACACAUGCAAGUCGAACGGCAGCACGGGGGCAACCCUGGUGGCGAGUGGCGAACGGGUGAGUAAUACAUCGGAACGUGCCCGGUCGUGGGGGAUAACGUAGCGAAAGUUACGCUAAUACCGCAUACGAUCUGAGGAUGAAAGCGGGGGACCUUCGGGCCUCGCGCGAUCGGAGCGGCCGAUGUCAGAUUAGGUAGUUGGUGGGGUAAAGGCCUACCAAGCCGACGAUCUGUAGCUGGUCUGAGAGGACGACCAGCCACACUGGGACUGAGACACGGCCCAGACUCCUACGGGAGGCAGCAGUGGGGAAUUUUGGACAAUGGGCGCAAGCCUGAUCCAGCCAUUCCGCGUGCAGGACGAAGGCCUUCGGGUUGUAAACUGCUUUUGUAUGGAACGAAAAGGAUCUGGCUAAUACCUGGGGCUCAUGACGGUACCGUAAGAAUAAGCACCGGCUAACUACGUG
rnacentral:rRNA from 1 species